rnacentral:RNase_P_RNA from 1 species
AGGGUAGGACGUCCGGUCGCGGCGGGAUCAUCCCGUCGAGGAAAGUCCGGGCUCCGCAGGGCAGGGUGCCAGCUAACGGCUGGGCGCGUAAGGCGACGGCAAGUGCAACAGAAAGCAGACCGCUUGAGCUCGCGCUCGAGCAAGGGUGAAACGGUGCGGUAAGAGCGCACCAGUACCGGUGGAGACACGGGUAGCUAGGUAAACCCCACCCGGUGCAAGGUCCGAUAGGGAGAAAGAGCUUGCCCGGCUCGCAAACAUCUCCGGGUUGACCGCUUGAGGCGGACGGUGACGUCUGUCCCAGAUAGAUGAUCGGAACCCCGCAAGGGGUACAGAACCCGGCUUACAGUCCUACCUGCCAU